GAAAGUUUUACUGUUUUGCUUAAAUUUAUCCCUGAUAAAACAGGUAUAAAUACGAGGAAUUAAAUCCAAGUAGCAUCCACAAGCGAAGGUUCUGUUCAAAUAAAGUAUUAGCUAUUAUUUUGGAUUACGAUGAAAUACUUGGCAAUUUUUGCUUUUAUUGCUGUUGUUACAGCACUGAAAUUUCCUUACAAUCCUCAAUUGAAUGAACAUUGGGAAAAUUUCAAGAGAAUCUAUGGAAAAAACUAUGGUAGCAGAGAAGAGUUUUCAAGACGUCUUGUUUGGGAAAGAGCUGUCGCAGAUAUCAUAAAACACAACCUUCAAGCUGAUUUGGGUAUUCAUUCUUACAGAAAAGGCAUUAAUGAAUACGCAGACA